GCAUAUCAAUAAGCGGAGGAAAAGAAACCAACAGGGAUUGCCCCAGUAACGGCGAGUGAAGCGGCAACAGCUCAAAUUUGAAAUCUGGCCCCCGGCCCGAGUUGUAAUUUGCAGAGGAUGCUUUUGGCGCGGUGCCUUCCGAGUUCCCUGGAACGGGACGCCAUAGAGGGUGAGAGCCCCGUACGGUUGGACACCAAGCCUUUGUAAAGCUCCUUCAACGAGUCGAGUAGUUUGGGAAUGCUGCUCUAAAUGGGAGGUACAUUUCUUCUAAAGCUAAAUAUUGGCCAGAGACCGAUAGCGCACAAGUAGAGUGAUCGAAAGAUGAAAAGCACUUUGAAAAGAGGGUUAAACAGCACGUGAAAUUGUUAAAAGGGAAGCGCUUGUGACCAGACUUGCGUCCGGUGAAUCACCCAGCUCUCGCGGCUGGGGCACUUCGCCGGCACAGGCCAGCAUCAGCUUGCCGUCGGGGACAAAAGCUUCAGGAACGUGGCUCCUCUCGGGGAGAUGUUAUAGCCCUGUUGCAUAAUACCCUUCGGCGGGCUGAGGUACGCGCUCCGCAAGGAUGCUGGCGUAAUGGUCAUCAGCGACCGGUCUUGAAACACGGACCAAGGAGUCAACCUUAUGUGCGAGUGUUUGGGUGUCAAACCCCUACGCGUAAUGAAAGUGAACGCAGGUGAGAGCUUCGGCGCAUCAUCGACCGAUCCUGAUGUUCUCGGAUGGAUUUGAGUAAGAGCAUAUAGGGUUGGACCCGAAAGAAGGUGAACUAUGCGUGUGUAGGGUGAAGCCAGAGGAAACUCUGGUGGAGGCCCGCAGCGGUUCCCACGGGCAACCCCAUCGUC
rnacentral:rRNA from 1 species